AGGUCAAGCUAAUAAGGGCUAACGGUGGAUACCUAGGCACACGGAAGCGAAGAAGGACGUAGUUACCGACGAAACGCUUCGGGGAGCGGGAAGCAAGCAUUGAUCCGAAGAUAUCCGAAUGGGGCAACCCUAAACACGACCACCUGAAUCCAUAGGGUGGAGCGAGCAAACCUGGUGAACUGAAACAUCUUAGUAGCCAGAGGAAAAGAAAGCAACAGCGAUUCCCCCAGUAGCGGCGAGCGAAAAGGGAACAGCCUAAACCAAGUUCUGCGGAACUUGGGGUCGUGGGACAGUAACAAAAGACUGGGAAAUUUAGACGAAGCGGCUGAAAACCGCACCAGAGAAGGUGAAAGUCCUGUAGUCGAAAAAGGAACCAGCUUAACUGCAUCCCGAGUAGCAUGGGGCACGUGAAAUCCCGUGUGAAUCUGCCUCGACCACGAGGUAAGGCUAAAUAUUCCCGUGUGACCGAUAGAGAAACAGUACCGCGAGGGAAAGGUGAAAAGAACCCCGGAAGGGGAGUGAAAUAGAACAUGAAACCGUUAGCCUACAAGCAAUGGGAGGACGAUUGAACGUCUGACCGUGUGCCUGUUGAAGAAUGAGCCGGCGACUUACAGGUUAUGGCAGGUGAAGGGGGAAGACCCCACAGCCCCAGCGAAAGCGAGUCUGAAUAGGGCGAAACGUCAUAAUUUGUAGACCCGAACCCGGGUGAUCUAACCAUGGCCAGGAUGAAGCUUGGGUAAAACCAAGUGGAGGUCCGAACCGACUAAUGUUGAAAAAUUAGCGGAUGAGCUGUGGUUAGGGGUGAAAUGCCAAUCGAACUCGGAGCUAGCUGGUUCUCCCCGAAAUGUGUUGAGGCGCAGCGGUAGUGGAAGUUUAGUCGGGGUAAAGCACUGUUUCGCCGCGGGCUGGGAGACCGGUACCAAGGCGAGGCAAACUCUGAAUACGGCUAAAAAAACUACCAGUGAGACGGUGGGGGAUAAGCUUCAUCGUCAAGAGGGAAACAGCCCAGACCACCAGCUAAGGUCCCCAAAUGAUAACUAAGUGAGAAAGGAGGUGGGAGUGCAUUGACAACCAGGAGGUUUGCCUAGAAGCAGCAAUCCUUAAAAGAGUGCGUAAUAGCUCACUGGUCAAGCGCUCCUGCGCCGAAAAUGAACGGGGCUAAGUUAUCUACCGAAGCUGUGGACCCCCCCCAACCCCCCCGUCAACGGGGGGGUUGGGGGGGGUGGUAGGGGAGCGUUCUAUAGGGGGUGAAGCAGUAGCGGCAAGCAGCUGUGGACUCUAUAGAAGUGAGAAUGUCGGCUUAAGUAGCGAAAAUGUGGGUGAGAAUCCCACACCCCGAAACCCCAAGGUUUCCUCCGCAAGGCUCGUCCGCGGAGGGUCAGUCAGGACCUAAGGCGAGGCUGAAAAGCGUAGUCGAUGGACAACGGGUUAACAUUCCCGUACCGAUUAAUGAUUGUGCCGGAGAACGGAGAAGGUCAACGUCAGCUGGAUGUUGGUUACCAGUGCAAGCAGUCGAGGCGAUGAGAGGUGGAGAAAACACCAGGAGCUAAGACGCGAGUCCCACCUCCCACGGGAGGGAAGUGGCGCUGAUCAUGCUUCCUAGAAAAGCCCGAACCACGUUAAUCAUUAAUUGCCUGUACCCGAAACCGACACAGGUGGGGAAGUAGAGAAUACUAAGGGGCGCGAGAUAACUCUCUCUAAGGAACUCGGCAAAAUGACCCCGUAACUUCGGGAGAAGGGGUACCCUCGCGAGAGGGUCGCAGUGAAUAGGCCCAGGCGACUGUUUACCAAAAACACAGGUCUCCGCCAAGUCGUAAGACGCAGUAUGGAGGCUGACGCCUGCCCAGUGCCGGAAGGUUAAGGAAGUUGGUCAGGAGUAAUCUGAAGCUGACGACCGAAGCCCCGGUGAACGGCGGCCGUAACUAUAACGGUCCUAAGGUAGCGAAAUUCCUUGUCGGGUAAGUUCCGACCCGCACGAAAGGCGUAACGAUCUGGGCACUGUCUCGGAGAGAGACUCGGCGAAAUAGGAUUGUCUGUGAAGAUACGGACUACCUGCACCUGGACAGAAAGACCCUAUGAAGCUUUACUGUAGCCUGGAAUUGGCUUCGGGCUUCGCUUGCGCAGGAUAGGUGGGAAGCUUUGAAACUCUCCUCGUGGGGAGGGUGGAGCUAACGGUGAGAUACCACUCUGGCGAGGCUAGAAUUCUAACCCUGACCCCUAAUCGGGGCGGGAGACAGUUUCAGGUGGGCAGUUUGACUGGGGCGGUCGCCUCCUAAAAGGUAACGGAGGCGCGCAAAGGUUCCCUCGGUCCCGUUGGAAAUGGGACGAUAGAGUGCAAAAGCAGAAGGGAGCUUGACUGUGAGACCCACAAGUCGAACAGGGACGAAAGUCGGCUUUAGUGAUCCGACGGCACCGCGUGGAAGGGCCGUCGCUCAACGGAUAAAAGUUACUCUAGGGAUAACAGGCUGAUCUCCCCCAAGAGUUCACAUCGACGGGGAGGUUUGGCACCUCGAUGUCGGCUCAUCGCAACCUGGGGCUGAAGUCGGUCCCAAGGGUUGGGCUGUUCGCCCAUUAAAGCGGUACGUGAGCUGGGUUCAGAACGUCGUGAGACAGUUCGGUCCAUAUCCGGUGUAGGCGUAAGAGCAUUGCGAGGAGCCUUCCUUAGUACGAGAGGACCGGGAAGGACGCACCGCUGGUGUACCUGUUAUCGUGCCAACGGUAAACGCAGGGUAGCCAUGUGCGGAGCGGAUAACCGCUGAAAGCAUCUAAGUGGGAAGCCCACCUCCAGAUGAUUGCUCUCAUGGCAUUAAGCCAGUAAGGUCUCGGGUAGACUACCCGUUGAUAGGCUCUAGAUGGAAGCUCGGUAACGAGUGCAGUCGAGGAGUACUAACCGACCGAGGGCUUGACCUCA
rnacentral:rRNA from 2 species